rnacentral:rRNA from 1 species
UACGGAGGGUGCAAGCGUUAUCCGGAUUCACUGGGCUUAAAGGGUGCGUAGGCGGGUUGGUAAGUCAGUGGUGAAAUCUCCGAGCUUAACUUGGAAACUGCCAUUGAUACUAUCAGUCUUGAAUAUUGUGGAGGUCAGCGGAAUAUGUCAUGUAGCGGUGAAAUGCUUAGAUAUGACAUAGAACACCAAUUGCGAAGGCAGCUGGCUACACAUAUAUUGACACUGAGGCACGAAAGCGUGGGGAUCAAACAGG